rnacentral:lncRNA from 1 species
CGACUCUAUUUUCACUCUCUUUGUUACAACACAUGAUUCUCCAUUAUGACCUGACAACUAACAAGAGACAUUAAGUGAAACACAUUGACAUGAAUGUCAACUCUGCCAACAAAUAAUUAGUUAUACUGGGGCAAUGAUCAAAUUCACCUCCGGCUCCAAAAACCUAUAAGGCAUAGGGCAAAAUUUAACAAGGAUACUAAAUAUUACAAGCUACAACAGGGUAUCGCUAGUUUCAUCUCGGUCCCAAUAGCCUCCAGCACCCAGCCGAAACAGAUCGAGCCACCAUCUUCUUUAUCUCCGGUGGCUACAGAAUAGCAAAAGGAUAGAGCACUAUUGAUUACAUGGUUGUUUCAGCGAACUGCGACAUGAAAAAUGAUGUUAUUCGCUCAUGCUUCCUACUCUGCCAACUACGACCAUAUCGUACCCCUGAAAUCACUUAAUGUAGUGGAACUCCUUUUCUGUGACAACUUUGCAAGAAGACAAAUAUGUAUUCUUCCUCCUUUUUUGUACUCCACCAUCAUGUGUCACCAUCUUCAAAUCCGAUGAACCUUCUAGUGAUUCUCAUAAUCAUCUGCUGAUAGACACCUCAGUCAUACUACUAAAGAUGUGUGCAUGUCGUUAUAGACAUAUACAUAUCCUCACUUUGGAAUAAGCAUAGAGGUAGACAUCAACACGUUGCAAGGAACAAAGUUUUCUAUCUGAGAGAGAAGCAAACAUAUUUAAGACCGCUCAUAACAAAUGCCAGUAAUUUCCAUGCUUUAAAAUCAACAAUGCGUCAGUGAAUCAUCUAGAAAGUUAUAUGCUCAUUAUAUAGUGUUUCCUACAAAUACACAACAAUUCUUCCAGUAUCAUUGUUAGAGAUGUGCUACUGUUAGUUGACAUAUCAAAUUAAUACUAAGACAUCUAUAAAUCCAAGUUCACAUGAUAGUGUUGCCAGUUUAUAUCCAACAAAUUUUAAAACCACAAUACCACAUACUGAAGAUUAUGUUGUUUAUUUCUUUCACUAUUUUUAUAACAAAUAGUGAUUUAGGAGAGAAAUAAACAAUGUAAUAUUUUGUGGGAACUUUUGCAGUCGACGAAAAGCUUGAUCAUUACAACAUAAUGGUGCUGGAUUGGAAGAAAAAGUUCACUUAAUAGGUCAGAUGCGCCAUGCAUAGGAGUGUCGAGGGCACACCAGAAUCAAUGAAUGGCACGAUGAAAAUAAUUAAACUUGUUUUUUAUUAGUUCUCAUCUACUCAGAAAGGUGUCACAAGGUGUGGUAAAAUGUCAUUCAGUUUCACAAAGGCAUGCAUUCGAGCUAGUGCUGACAAACUUUGCUGCCUUUUUCACACUUGCUUUCCGCAUCUCCACUCUAGGAUCAAAACACAUUCCCAGUAAACAUUUGGAAUUUUAAGUUUGUCCGAGAAGGAGUAAACUCACUAAACUACAAAUACAAGCACAAAGCAUGUCCAUAUCUCUGUACAAAAGACAUAAUGCAGUACAUGUAUCAGUUUGGAUACACAUGCUUCAGUCAACUUGACCAUGACUAACGCCGUGGUCAUUUUAUCCUACAAGCAUGGUCGGAAGUGCACUCUUUUUAAACUAUGUCAGCUCUCGCGGAAAAGGAAAAAUCACUCUGAACUUGUUUUUCCUAGCAUUUUUUCAAAAAAAAAGAGCUGGAUUUCAUCAAUGGUCAUGAUUCUUCUCAGGAUUAUGGGACAUAUUAAACAGACAAGCUUCACAUGGUAAAAAGCUCAUAGAAAAGGGUAUUAACAUUUGUAUGUUUGUGAAAACCAAUUCAGAUUGCUAAUUAUAAUGUGAACCUUUGGUGAAGCAACGUGAUCAGCACUUCAUGAGCUGCAACUAAAUCAUGUAUGGUGUUUUGUGUCCUUCAUAAAUCAGUCUAUAAUUCUGCCCAGUAAAUUUUAACACCACUUGGUAGAUCAUGCAGGAGAAAAAUUGCAAGUGUACAGUAAAGUUAGGCCAUAAUUCUGCCCAGUAAAGUUAGGCCAUAAUUUUGCACAACAGUGCAGUAUUACUAAAGAAUAAGGCACCCCAUAACUAAACAGAAAACACAAAACAAAGCAGAAAGAGACAAGUAAAGAGGCACAUACCUAGCAUAAUGUACUGACAUUGUAGUUACAGAAGCAUAAUUGUAUAAACUUGGGCUUUGGCAAGAUAAUAGCAGGUAUGCCCAUUGAGAAAAACAUGUAGCAAGCUUCCAAUCUACCACCAAGGAUCACGUUUGAUUGGCACAUUAAAGUUCUUUGGAGCUAUACCAAGGAUAAUCACGUCUUUGUCUAGCGUCUACCCAGUUUCAGUAAAUUAAAACAGGUUGAUUGUUACGGUCUUGUAUGUUGUCACCUGGACCAAAUCCCAUCAUGUUUUUGUACGGAGGACGAUGCAAAAAAUGCAGGAGAGAGAAACACAAGUUAUAUUUGAGUAGCAGUGGAAAGAAGUCCAGAUCAUCCCCUGGGAUUUCAUAAACCGGCUAACCCACCCCCUCAGCUCUAAAACCAGUUAAGUAACCCCCUGAAGUCUCUAAUACCAGGCAAAUCACCCCUUUGCGCUGAUUAUAGUGGUUUCUGGGGGCGGUUUUCCUUGUGUGACGUUGGACUACUACCACGUCGGCUUGAUGGAAGGCGCCAGCUCAAGCUCGUCCUCGCAUGUUCUCUUGUUCCUCUCCUCCCGUGUACGUCAGCAUGGUAGACAGCUGAAGUUCGUCCUCCUCUGUUCCCAAGUUCCUCUCCUCUCCCCUAUUCGCCAGUCCCGGGAUUGCCUUCAGCGCUCGGCCUCUGCGGUAACAUGGGGUCGCCAAUCCCCUAUUGGCAGAUUCCCUACGUGACCACGUUUGCAUCUGGCCGGAGGUAAGACCAUUCCGUAGUAACAUUCACAUGAUUCCAAUUUAAUGGACUGAUUGUUCGAUCUUUCAGGCUGAGAUGGAUAAACUUCUACUGGGUCAUUGAUGAAGUUGACCCUGUGUCACACUCAUGCCUACUAUCGUCUCCUAGAACUAUUAAGUAGAAAGAAAAGAAACAUGAGCUAAUAUCAGGACAAAAGAAAACAUCAAACUAGUAUGUGAUUUUUGUACUCGUUUAAAAUAGCUGAAACCGUAUAAGAUCCAGCUAAAAUUAGAUUACUAGUUUUGGUAAUUAUUCCAUAUGUGUACGAUCCUGUGACCAUGUUUACAACCAGCCGGACUAAUGGUAAUAUUAGAUUACUAAUUUUGGUAAUUAUUCCAUCAGGAAAUUUGAUUUGCUCUUUUGUGUGCAUAAUUGGUAGACUGAUGGAUGUAAAUACUUCUACUGGCUGGAAGCAAGUUGGACACACAUGCUGAAGUUGUGAUAGCAAGCUUCAGAGUUUGCAAAGAAGCUAGAGAUUCAAGAAAAGCUAGGUGCACUAAAGUUCAGAAAAUGAAGAAACUUGCAAUGCUGUUCUGGCUUGUUUCAGUUGUUUUACCAUUUGUCUGUGUAAAGUGUAAUGGUAGUGUUGGCUUAGUUAGUAUGAGGGUGAAUUAAGCAGUACUUUGGCAUUGUGGCAGGUUGAGAGAUAAUAAAAAGUAGUGAAUGUAAUGUGGAACUAUUGCUGAAUUUUGGCUAUGUCCUGCUUCUUAAUUUUCCUUUUCAAAUUAGCAGUAUUUGGGCUGCAUGAUGUUGCUCAUUUUCUAUGUGAAUUGGCAGUAUUCUCAGUGUUGUAUUAGCUGACCGAAACUGAGCAUGCAUAGGAGUCAACCGUGUACCAGAAAAUAUAGCAUGAUCCCCAGCAUGCUUGAACUACAAGGUCAGUUUUAUUUCACUGUAGAAUCUUUGAUUGGUUUGGCAUUGGCUGGUUUUGCUCUGCCGGCUGCCGCCGCAUCAUCAAAGGAAAGAAGGGAGACAAGGCCAAAACAGGAGGAGCAGUUUAACUAGACCCACCCCAUCAAGCAGACGUGGCAGUCGUCCAACGCCGCGCAAGCAAAACCACCUGCAGAAACCACUAUAAUCAGCGCGAGGGGGUGAUUUGACUGGUAUUUGAGACCUCAGGGGGUUACUUAACUGGUUUUAGAGCUUAGGGGGUGAAUUAGCCGAUUUGUGAAACCCCAGGGGGUGAUCUGGACUUCUUUCGUAGCAGUGUUAUAAAAAUUUGCUCAGGAGAGAGAAACAAAUAAAUCUAAUUUUGGCAAUCCAGUACAGACAAUAUUUAUGGGUAAUUACUAAUUUCAUGUCCCAUAGGUAUUAUGUCACGUAGUAUGAAGAAACAAAGUCAAGCAGUUACGAGCGCCUUUGGUGCAGUGAAAUUUUGAGUGGGAGUCUAUAUUAUUACAGUUUUGUAUCGUCCAAAUUACAGCCCCAUAAAUCAGCUCCAGCCGACACACACCUUUGCUUCCACAACUCAUGCAUAACCACAUACUCGGGGAUUCAAAUCAACCUACAAGAAUAUUAAUCCAUUAGAACUUCAUGCAGAAUAAGAAGUAAAUUAGUCAGAUCCAAGAUGACACCAAACCGAAUUGGUUAGGAUGUGUGUCGAUGCUUGCUGGCUUCGCCCGCCAUCACCGAGCUAUCAAAAUCACAAGAGGAAAAUAUGUACUGGCUACUGCUCGCAUUUCACAAACACAUCAUAUUAGAAUCACAUGCCUCAUUUGGACGCCAUAUAAUAAUCAUACAUCAUUGUUGUAUCAAUAGAAAAGAAAAUAUAGAAUAUUUUUCACCAUGUACACUGUGACCGUAAAAUAUAGAAUAUUUCCUGUACUGAACCGUGAGUACAAGGGUUGGAUCAUGAGUUAUCUAAAGAGAGGAAAAGAUUUCGUACAUGCGAGUAACUCAAAACACCCAUGAAAGUAAACCAGAUCAGCACAAAAACAGAACCAAAUCAAGCAUAGAAGCAAGAGAGAAAGUGAUUUCAUCCUACCACCAGAUCAGAGGAAGUCGAGCCAUCGCCUCUCAGUCGAGGAUGGCGCGCCAGUGGAGGUGAAAGCCGUCGCCUGGCGGAUCAGCAACCUUCCGUCCAGGUCGGCCCACGUGGAAGGGGACAACGACCGCGCGCCGGCUCGUCGUUGGUGGCACACCAGCGAAGGUCGCGUCGCGUACCCGAACCCAGCAGCAGCAUGCAUUGCCGGUGCCGUAAUGGCACGGGGAGCAGGUGUGCGGAGGAGCUCGGCACCAUAUCUAGGAGAACGGAGAGUGGGAGA